AGCUUUGUGAAGUGGCAGUAUUAUAACCAAUGAGGUUUAUCAGAGGCAUGAUUAUUGCUAAUUCAUAGGACCAUACUGACGGCUAUGUUAAGAACAGACAAUGAUGCAGGGUCAGAAUCUGGCUGGUGAACUAG
ensembl:snRNA U4 U4 spliceosomal RNA